CACACACACUUGUGUCAAGCAGAUGGGAUUGGAGAGCACACACUACCUCCACGCCUCGUGUGCACGCUUGGUGUGUGCAUGCGCAAACCGGCGCGGGUUACGAUCAGGCCGGGAAGCAGAUUAUCUAUCCUUUGAUUGAACAUUGACGAGAGCGGAGGAGGGAAUCUUGUUGUAGGUAUGCACUGCAGGUAAACAACAACAGCCCGAGGCCGCGUCAGAACGCCGCGAAUGGGAAAUAAGAGCAAAGAGGAGCCCCGAGACGGAGCCUUGAGGCACUCCAUCCUGGCGACGCAGCAGGCAGCGGCUUCUCCUCGGAGCUUUUAAACGCCAUCAGCGAGCGCCUUUGUUUGGCUGAGUGACGGCAAGCCCCGCUCCCCCUAAAAUUUUAUCGGGGGGAGAUGGCUCGAAGCGGAAUGUACAGUGGGAGCAGCUCGCAUUUCACGGCAGGGCGGGGAGCCCCCGUGAACUCGGGAGUGGGUAUCCGGCUGGAGUGUGUGUGUGGGGGGGGGGGCUGCAUAAGAGGGAAGGGUGAGUGAGUUUAGCAACUAUUUUUAGGCCAGAUGGGAGCCUGGAUUUCAAGUGUUCACACAUCUGCAUGUCAGGCUGCAAAUCUCACUUGAAUAAUGUGUGUGUUGGGGGUGUUUGGGCUCCCUUUACGGCACCUGCAGGAAUCAACACCUCACUCCAACUUUUUUUUUUUUUUAAUUAGCUCCCUCCCUCCCUGUGCCUUUAUGCCCCCCCCCCUCCACUCCAAACUCUCUAGCGCUCUCCUUUGUUUGCCGCUUUCAUUUUGUGACAUCUUGCUCUGCUCAGCGAGGAGAGUGUGACAGUCUGCACAUGGAACACACCAGCGAGAGGGGAAAAAAGAAAAAAAAUAUAUUUUGCUGACAAAGCAGAUUAAACACCACAGGCGUUUUUUUUUUUUUUUUAAGGCUGGCAAGGGCAGCCUGUGAUUUACGGCUCCUAAUAAGUCCUCAGCUCACUUGCUUUUAUGAUGCCAUCAUUAUGAGUUAUAGGGCGCCUAAUGAGGGCGGCGGCCGUGUCCUUACAAGUGUCCCGGCUUUGGAAUAAUGUUGGCUCAGGAGAGGGCGCACAAAAGGCCGGGAUGCGAACCGCGGCCGGUCGACGGCGGCCGUAAAUAACAGAGAUGCCACAAGUUAGGGAGGCGCAUGAAAAGAUUCAAAGAUGCACGAGUGUGGGAGUUUCCCCGGGCCAGUUGCUAGGACACCUGCUCGAGGCACGUGCAAGGGCCUUGCAACGUCUGGCCCUGAACUUUGACCUCAGCGGGGUCUUGCUGUUCCUCUAUAGAAGCAUCAGAAACAGAAGCCGAGGACAACACUCUGUCCCUAGGAAACGAGGGCUGAACCAUUUUCUAAAAUCACCACCCCCCAUUAUAACAAUGUAAUAAGCGGACUCUCAAACAACCACAUCUGCAUACAAAGUACAGCACAUGAAGGAGGAAAAAUCCGUUUUUUCCACUCCCAAAAUCGCAUUCCACCACAUUGCAAUGUCGAUUUGAAUUUCAGGAAUUAUUCAGCCCCUGCAUGAAGUGAUGCAAUGUAUGACACCACUCCAGUCCAAAAAGCAGCUGAAUGAGCAACGAAGAAAUCGCCUAAAAGCACACAAAUGCGCACACGGAACCCGAAGAGCCUGCAUGCAACUACAAAAGAACAACAAAAAAGUCUGACACAAACGCGCACAUCUGGCUCCUCUUAC